GACGAACGCUGGCGGCGUGCUUAACACAUGCAAGUCGAACAGAAAGGCCCUGCUUUUGUGGGGUGCUCGAGUGGCGAACGGGUGAGUAACACGUGAGUAACCUGCCCUUGACUUUGGGAUAACUUCAGGAAACUGGGGCUAAUACCGGAUAGGAGCUCCUGCUGCAUGGUGGGGGUUGGAAAGUUUCGGCGGUUGGGGAUGGACUCGCGGCUUAUCAGCUUGUUGGUGGGGUAGUGGCUUACCAAGGCUUUGACGGGUAGCCGGCCUGAGAGGGUGACCGGCCACAUUGGGACUGAGAUACGGCCCAGACUCCUACGGGAGGCAGCAGUGGGGAAUAUUGCACAAUGGGCGGAGGCCUGAUGCAGCAACGCCGCGUGCGGGAUGACGGCCUUCGGGUUGUAAACCGCUUUCGCCUGUGACGAAGCGUGAGUGACGGUAAUGGGUAAAGAAGCACCGGCUAACUACGUG
rnacentral:rRNA from 1 species